rnacentral:rRNA from 1 species
CAGUAGCCACGGGAAUACAGAGGGUGCAAGCGUUAUCCGGAUUCACUGGGUUUAAAGGGUGCGUAGGCGGAUCUGUAAGUCAGUGGUGAAAUCUCCAGGCUUAACCUGGAAACUGCCGUUGAUACUAUAGGUCUUGAAUUUUGUGGAGGUUAGCGGAAUAUGUCAUGUAGCGGUGAAAUGCAUAGAUAUGACAUAGAUCACCAAUUGCGAAGGCAGCUGGCUACACAACUAUUGACGCUGAGGCACGAAAGCGUGGGGAUCAAACAGGAUUAGAUACCCGCGUAGUCCCUGUCUCUUAUAC